UACGUAGGGUGCAAGCGUUGAUCGGAAUUACUGGGCGUAAAGCGUGCGCAGGCGGUGAUGUAAGACCGAUGUGAAAUCCCCGGGCUUAACCUGGGAACUGCAUUGGUGACUGCAUCGCUCGAGUAUGGCAGAGGGGGGUAGAAUUCCACGUGUAGCAGUGAAAUGCGUAGAGAUGUGGAGGAAUACCGAUGGCGAAGGCAGCCCCCUGGGUCAAUACUGACGCUCAUGCACGAAAGCGUGGGGAGCAAACAGG
rnacentral:rRNA from 1 species